GGCGGUGGUGGCUCAGUGGUUCAGGUUCUGGGCUGCUAUUCAGAAGGUCAUGAGUUCAAAUCCCAGCACCGCCU